rnacentral:rRNA from 1 species
AACGAACGCUGGCGGCAUGCCUUACACAUGCAAGUCGAACGGCAGCACGGGAGCAAUCCUGGUGGCGAGUGGCGAACGGGUGCGUAACACGUGGGAAUUUGCCUCGGGGUAUGGAAUAACUCAGGGAAACUUGAGCUAAUACCAUAUAAUGUCUUCGGACCAAAGAUUUAUCGCCCUGAGAUAAGCCCGCGUAGGAUUAGCUAGUUGGUGGGGUAAAGGCUCACCAAGGCGACGAUCCUUAGCUGGUCUGAGAGGAUGAUCAGCCACACUGGGACUGAGACACGGCCCAGACUCCUACGGGAGGCAGCAGUGGGGAAUAUUGGACAAUGGGCGGAAAGCCUGAUCCAGCAAUGCCGCGUGAGUGAUGAAGGCCUUAGGGUCGUAAAGCUCUUUUACCCGAGAUGAUAAUGACAGUAUCGGGAGAAUAAGCUCCGGCUAACUCCGUGCCAGCAGCCGCGGUAAAGUGACUACUG